AAAGAAAGUAAUAAACAUGAAAUCCGUAUGAGUGAAAAUUGAUUCAAUCUUCGUCGUCUGAGGGCCAAAUAGUCAGCUUUAUAUACCAACAGAAGGCUUUUUACAGCAUUGCAAUAAUUACAUUAACUUAAAAGUAUAUAAAUUCAACAAUGUGUGUUGUGUAUCGAUCUUUGUUUCCUGGUAGUCGUCUAGUUCUUCAUAGUAGUACACCAUUAAGUAAAAAACGCGAACGAACUACAAUCCAAUGGGGCUAUAAGUCGCUGGCGAUGAGGGUAAAAUAGCAGCGAAAAGUUUGCAGGUGUCGAGCGAGUCGUCGCGGCACGUAAGCCAACAGACAGGUCCCGAGUUCAUCAAAUGCUGCCGUAUCUUUCAAAUAAACAUUUAUGGAACGAUCGAAGGAAACAGGGAAUAAUUUUCUUUAGAAAAUGCAGUCUAACCUUACCCUUCUUUCAACAUUAGUUUCGCCAAUAGUAAAUUAUGCGAGAAAGUUUGCAAAGCGUCGGAAAAUCGGCACUUUUGAUUUACGGUCCAAACGCUUUUGCUCGAUUUUUGCGACAAGGCCGUGGAAAUACAUAGAAACAGAUAGCAGUACAAAAGGAAGGGUUGUCAUUUGCAUUUGCCACGAGUGACCCUUUUCAGGCUCUCAACGUCCAUCCAUGGAAAAACGGAAAUCAAUUUGACCCGCUGCGGACCGCUUGCCAAGAUUCCGUACACAACUUUACACUUUACGAAGUCUUGGAAAUAUUUCAAAAUUUUCCAACUAAAACAGGGAAAUGUUCUUCGAUCAUAACCUUGAAGAUAUAACAAAACAAGGGUACAAAUACUUUUACGGACGAUAACAUAUCCAUCCUCUUAAUAUUAAAUAAUAUUAAAAUAUUGAAAACCAUGGAAAUAUCGGAGAUAUUAAGUCACCGGACAUCAAACUGAGAAGACGAAGAAAAAUGUGCUUAUCGCGCUUCUUCUUUCCUGAGAUCUCCGAACCAGACGUUCUAACUAUUAACACUUCUUGCGCAAUAGUAACGACGGCCUUCGUUUCCCAUUAAGAAGCACGGCAAUAAACAGGAGAAAAAGUGUUGGUUAAGACAGGAAGGUAGAGAAUUGAUAGAUCGAGAGGGGUCCAGAGGCGGUAAAACGCGGUUGUAAAUCGGAUUCGCAGCGGGACCGUUAUCCGAACCGAUGUUACUGAACGGUACUUUUCUCCAAAACGGAGUACCGUCGUUGUAUAACCGCGGCCUCGGGCAUAAAUCAAUUAAAUUAUAAAUUACUAUACAGAAGUUGAGCAAAACGACCACCUGUUGAGGACAGCAACAGAGAGAGAGAGAGAGAGAGAGAGAGAGAGAGAGGGAGAGACAGAGAGAAGGUAGAAGCGAAAAGGGGGCAAGUAAGGGGGUGGGGGUGGUGAGGCCAGCUAUCUCGUAAAUUCUCCACUCCUGUCCCGCUGCUGUAUCCAUGUGUAGAAGUGUUUACUCCUUACUUCCUUUCUUCUUUCAUCGUGAUCUCCUUCUAGGAAGUUAUUUACGAGCAGCCUAUUGUUGCCACCUGUGUUACGAAUGGUACGCUAAUUGGACUGUUGCGUUUACCACCUUUGUUUCAUUUGCGUACGACGAGUGGCGCCUUUAAAUCAACUUAAACAUAGCGUUUUUGUCGAUUUAAAAUUGAGUGACAGGUUAAUUCCAUGAAUGGAUACUAAUGAUUCGUUGAUCGAUGAACAUUGUAAUCUAUUAGGGUAAUAUAUGGCAUUGUAAUCUAUUAGGGUAAUAUAUAGCUUUAAAUGUAGCUUUUUCAGUGAUUGACAGUGUACGAAUGUUGACCGAGAACUUUACAGAGACAACUGUCUGUGACAAUCAUCUUUCAUCGAAUCACUUUCCUGUCAAAGAGUUGCUACAUUACAAGAGACUCGUAACGUAACUCGCUUCAUCUUCCAGGAUAUUAAAUUUCAAUUUAUUUCACGCGUUACGCGUGGCAGAAAUUAAUCAAGCAGAAGGAAAAGAAGUAGUUUUCUAGAAGAAAUGAAACGAACCGGUAAGAAAGUUUGCUGGAAAAUAUUUUCACAUGUAAAUACGUACACGUAAAUUCUCUUUUGCCAACAGAGUUCAAAUUUCCAACUCUCAAGAAGGUCGUUUAUGUUUAAGCUUUGACGCGGAUUUGCUAGAUAAGCGUAUAAUUGGGAAUGCGAAGAAAGUAGUAGGUAGGGACAUUGAGAGCUGCCAGGGAUGAUUAAUUCUCGGCAGGAAAGCGCCAGACCCUUUGGAACUCGCUUGUAGCGCCCGCUCCACCCCGUCUUCUCUACCAUUCCAACAACCCCAACCACCGUCACUUCGAACCUCCUCUUCGCUCCUCGCGUACACCCGACAACCCAUACCCUCUUCAACCCUCUGAGCUGCUCUUACCACCAAGCAGACUUUCUCGUUUCGUUUGUUCUCCGGCCGUGUCAUUCGUUAUUACAUCGUAGAAACUCGCGGAUAUUUGGAAUUCCGAGUGACGUCUAAAGGCCGCCCUCGUUGCUUUAACCGGUAACCCGGCUUCUUACCGCUUGCGCGGCUUCUUUGUCUGUCUUGACUUCUUUUUUCUUGCCCUGCCGCACCAAUUUCCCAUUAUUGUUAGUCCUUCCGUCAUUUUAACACGGAGGUUUUCAAAUGAUUCUUUUAGGACAAGGACGUGGCUCGCUAUAAGUUUGAUAGUGGAUUGAUAGCUGGGUUAUUGUUGGAUUAAUGUGUUUCUUUAAUGAAUUUUUCUAAUUAGCAAUAGAGAGAUAAAAUCGUUUACUAUGAGUUAAUCAAAGGAUCUUGAAGAUUUUAUUGGUAGUCUGAAUAUUUAAGAAUUUACAGUAAACGGUAAUUCACUAGUUAAAUAAUAAACCAGAAGUUGACUUUUGUUGUUUUAAUAUUUAACGUUUCAUUAGGUAAAUAAUGGAGUGUCAAUCUAGUAUUUAACGUUCACUAGUUAAAUAAUGGGAAUUCAGAAGUCAAAAUAAUCUGUGUAUUUUCAAACGCAAUGGGCUGCCGAAGGUCCAUAAAAUUUUAUAGCUGGAGUUUAUCAUCUUCCACGAUAAUCCGGAAGAAUAUUCCUUUAUUUCGUAUAAAUUUCUUCUUCAUCGAAUAACAGUUUAUCGAAUAGCAGAAAAAACCAAUUUGCAUGCCAUUAGAUAACGUCAUUGCCAACUUCAGGUACAUGUGGAACAAUUAACAAAUUUGAAAAUUUGAAAUCUGAAAAGUAAAAAAUUCAAAAAUUUGGAAGUUAUUGAAAAAUAAAUUUUGAAACAUUUAGACUAAAAUUUCAAACUUUCGCUCAUUCAAGCAACCGAACACACAAUUAACCCUUUAAAUGCUCCGUUAUCCGACGUUAAGCGUGAGCCCUGGACGGCCCACUCUUUACGAAGAAGCACACCAUGGGCUGCGUAUAUUUCACGAGAGAACCCAAUUGAGCAGACUGAAUUUUCAUUGCAAAAUAUAUCGAUUGUGACUAAAAUAAAUUAUGUAGUGACCUGA